CCUGGCAAAACGGUAGAAUAUUGUCAAACUUGUUAUAUCUGUACAGUUGUUAGUGCAUCAAGUGAAACAGCGCCUCAAGGAACAGUUGCCCAGAGUUGUCUUAAAGUUGAUCUACAUCCUGAUUUUCUGCUGUUCCAUCAGUCACUAUGCAGUGUGUUUGGACAACCUAAGCAUUCUUGAAUCAGACUGCUUCAGUUUAUAUCGAAGAUGUAUUGCUUGUCAUGCCCGGUGACCAACUUCACAGGACUAUGUUCAAAUUUAGAUUACAUGCCUAGUAUGAAAGACAUCAAGUAUAUUACCGAAAUUGGCUAUCUCAAUUCGCGACUUCCGAACUCAUCCUCAGUCUGUCAUUCUGAUGCAGAGGUCCUGAAAGAAGUUGGAACGUUUUGAACCGUCUCAGCCAAUAAGUAUUAGAAAAUAGGUAGUCGCUUAAUGAUUAGUUUCUUCGCUGCCCGUACAAGUUUCUUCCCUUACCAUCCAAGCAAGCACUAUGUCUGUCAAACCAUUAGCUGAGUACAGUUAAUACCAUUAGUUCACCAAAACAAGAGGUUAAGAAUAAUACUGAAUCAAAAGAGGUAUCUAGUCGAACCAAAUUUCAUAAUGAUAACGGUUGGAAGCCCGAAGGAAUUCUUGAAAAAUGCUUCCUGUCCAUUACCUUCAGUCGUUGCUGCUGCCCGAAAACAAAGUAUUAAAAGUUAUAUAAAUUGAAGUGCAUAUCUGGGCUCCCUUCUUUUCUGUGGCCCCGUUUCCCUUUGAUUUUUAAUAAGCCCGUAGGGGGUCAUGCCCCUACUGUGAUCAGCAGUAACGGUUGUGAGUGCGCUGUCUGGAAAGGGGACGUGGGGGUCCUCAUGGUCCGAUGAUAUCAUUGGAGGGCUGUGGGGCUACCCAAAAAUCCGAAUUAACAGUUAAUCGCUCACGUAAAAGCUUGUCCGCAACCUUCGCUCUUCUUCCGGCUUCUCUUAGCCACGCACCGGGUAAUCUCCCCGGUGAGUCAACUGAGGUAGUGUCUCCCCCUACCUUGGUUGACAGCAACUUUGAAAUCGGCUAUUUUGCCCUUUCAAAGUUGCAAGUCUUUAAAUUGUGCCGAAUAUUGUCAAUACAAAUUCUUAAAAAAAAAAA